AUUGAACGCUGGCGGCAGGCCUAACACAUGCAAGUCGAGCGGAUGAAGGGAGCUUGCUCCUGGAUUCAGCGGCGGACGGGUGAGUAAUGCCUAGGAAUCUGCCUGGUAGUGGGGGAUAACGUCCGGAAACGGGCGCUAAUACCGCAUACGUCCUGAGGGAGAAAGUGGGGGAUCUUCGGACCUCACGCUAUCAGAUGAGCCUAGGUCGGAUUAGCUAGUUGGUGGGGUAAAGGCCUACCAAGGCGACGAUCCGUAACUGGUCUGAGAGGAUGAUCAGUCACACUGGAACUGAGACACGGUCCAGACUCCUACGGGAGGCAGCAGUGUGGAAUAUUGGACAAUGGGCGAAAGCCUGAUCCAGCCAUGCCGCGUGUGUGAAGAAGGUCUUCGGAUUGUAAAGCACUUUAAGUUGGGAGGAAGGGCAGUAAGUUAAUACCUUGCUGUUUUGACGUUACCAACAGAAUAAGCACCGGCUAACUUCGUG
rnacentral:rRNA from 1 species